AACGCUGGCGGCAGGCUUAACACAUGCAAGUCGAACGGUUGUAGCAAUACAGCAGUGGCGCACGGGUGAGUAACGCGUGGAUAUCUGCCUUUUGGUUCGGAAUAACUCCGGGAAACUGGAGCUAAUACCGGAUGGUUCCUGCGGGAUAAAGAUUUAUCGCCAAAAGAUGAGUCCGCGUACGAUUAGCUAGUUGGUGAGGUAAUGGCUCACCAAGGCGACGAUCGUUAGCUGGUCUGAGAGGACGAUCAGCCACACUGGGACUGAGACACGGCCCAGACUCCUACGGGAGGCAGCAGUGGGGAAUAUUGGACAAUGGGGCAACCCUGAUCCAGCCAUGCCGCGUGAGUGAUGAAGGCCUUCGGGUUGUAAAGCUCUUUGGCGGGGACGAUGAUGACGGUACCCGCAGAAUAAGCCCCGGCUAACUUCGUG
rnacentral:rRNA from 1 species